rnacentral:rRNA from 1 species
AGCAGUCGCCACGGUAAUACGGAGGGUGCAAGCGUUAUCCGGAUUUAUUGGGUUUAAAGGGUCCGUAGGCGGAUCUGUAAGUCAGUGGUGAAAUCUCACAGCUUAACUGUGAAACUGCCAUUGAUACUGCAGGUCUUGAGUAAAUUUGAAGUGGCUGGAAUAAGUAGUGUAGCGGUGAAAUGCAUAGAUAUUACUUAGAACACCAAUUGCGAAGGCAGGUCACUAAGAUUUAACUGACGCUGAUGGACGAAAGCGUGGGGAGCGAACAGGAUUAGAUACCCCCGUAGUCCCUGUCUCUUAUAC